GAUGAACGCUAGCGACAGGCCUAACACAUGCAAGUCGAGGGGCAUCGGGACGUAGCAAUACGUUGCCGGCGACCGGCGGAUGGGUGAGUAACGCGUAUGCAACCUACCCGUAGCAGGGGGAUAGCCCGUUGAAAGACGGAUUAAUACCCCGUAACACAGGGGCUCCGCAUGGAGAUUAUUGUUAAAGGGUCAUUUCUUUUUCAGGGAUGGUCCGGCUGCGGAUGGGCAUGCGUUCCAUUAGGUAGUUGGUGUAGGUAACUGCUCACCAAGCCGACGAUGGAUAGGGGAACUGAGAGGUUGGUCCCCCACACUGGUACUGAGACACGGACCAGACUCCUACGGGAGGCAGCAGUGAGGAAUUUUGGUCAAUGGACGCAAGUCUGAACCAGCCAUGUCGCGUGAAGGAGGACGGCCCUAAGGGUUGUAAACUUCUUUUGCAGUGGAAUAAAGUUUGCCACGUGUUGGCGAUUUGCAAGUACGCUGCGAAUAAGGAUCGGCUAACUCCGUGCCAGCAGCCGCGGUAAUACGGAGGAUCCAGGCGUUAUCCGGAUUUAUUGGGUUUAAAGGGUGCGCAGGCGGGGAAUUAAGGUCGGCGG
rnacentral:rRNA from 1 species